AUUAAACGCUGGCGGCAUGCCUUACACAUGCAAGUCGAACGGCAGCACGGGGGCAACCCUGGUGGCGAGUGGCGGACGGGUGAGUAAUGCAUCGGAACGUGCCCUGAAGUGGGGGAUAACGCAGCGAAAGCUACGCUAAUACCGCAUAUUCUGUGAGCAGGAAAGCAGGGGAUCGCAAGACCUUGCGCUUUGGGAGCGGCCGAUGUCGGAUUAGCUAGUUGGUGGGGUAAAGGCCUACCAAGGCGACGAUCCGUAGCGGGUCUGAGAGGAUGAUCCGCCACACUGGGACUGAGACACGGCCCAGACUCCUACGGGAGGCAGCAGUGGGGAAUUUUGGACAAUGGGCGGAAGCCUGAUCCAGCCAUGCCGCGUGAGUGAAGAAGGCCUUCGGGUUGUAAAGG
rnacentral:rRNA from 1 species